UGGGGAAUAUUGGACAAUGGGCGCAAGCCUGAUCCAGCCAUGCCGCGUGAGUGAUGAAGGCCCUAGGGUUGUAAAGCUCUUUCACCGGUGAAGAUAAUGACGGUAACCGGAGAAGAAGCCCCGGCUAACUUCGUGCCAGCAGCCGCGGUAAUACGAAGGGGGCUAGCGUUGUUCGGAUUUACUGGGCGUAAAGCGCACGUAGGCGGACUUUUAAGUCAGGGGUGAAAUCCCGGGGCUCAACCCCGGAACUGCCUUUGAUACUGGAAGUCUUGAGUAUGGUAGAGGUGAGUGGAAUUCCGAGUGUAGAAGUGAAAUUCGUAGAUAUUCGGAGGAACACCAGUGGCGAAGGCGGCUCACUGGACCAUUACUGACGCUGAGGUGCGAAAGCGUGGGGGGCAAACAGG
rnacentral:rRNA from 1 species